CAGCCGCCACGGUAAAACGUAGGUGGCAAGCGUUGUCCGGAAUUAUUGGGCGUAAAGGGCUCGCAGGCGGUUUCUUAAGUCUGAUGUGAAAGCCCCCGGCUCAACCGGGGAGGGUCAUUGGAAACUGGGGAACUUGAGUGCAGAAGAGGAGAGUGGAAUUCCACGUGUAGCGGUGAAAUGCGUAGAGAUGUGGAGGAACACCAGUGGCGAAGGCGACUCUCUGGUCUGUAACUGACGCUGAGGAGCGAAAGCGUGGGGAGCGAACAGGAUUAGAUACCCCGGUAGUCCCUGUCUCUUAUAC
rnacentral:rRNA from 1 species